GAGUGAAAGCCCGGGGCCCAACCCCGGGACUGCUUUGGAAACUGUGUAACUUGAGUACAGGAGAGGUAAGUGGAAUUCCUAGUGUAGCGGUGAAAUGCGUAGAUAUUAGGAGGAGCACCAGUGGCGAAGGCGGCUUACUGGACUGUAACUGACGUUGAGGCUCGAAAGCGUGGGGAGCAAACAG
rnacentral:rRNA from 1 species